rnacentral:rRNA from 2 species
UACGGAGGGUGCGAGCGUUAAUCGGAAUUACUGGGCGUAAAGCGCGCGUAGGCGGCUUGAUAAGCCGGUUGUGAAAGCCCCGGGCUCAACCUGGGAACGGCAUCCGGAACUGUCAGGCUAGAGUGCAGGAGAGGAAGGUAGAAUUCCCGGUGUAGCGGUGAAAUGCGUAGAGAUCGGGAGGAAUACCAGUGGCGAAGGCGGCCUUCUGGACUGACACUGACGCUGAGGUGCGAAAGCGUGGGUAGCAAACAGG